rnacentral:rRNA from 1 species
UACGUAGGGGGCUAGCGUUGUCCGGAAUCAUUGGGCGUAAAGAGCGUGUAGGCGGUCCGGUAAGUCGGCUGUGAAAGUCCAGGGCUCAACCCUGGGAUGCCGGUCGAUACUGCCGGGCUAGAGUCCGGAAGAGGCGAGUGGAAUUCCCGGUGUAGCGGUGAAAUGCGCAGAUAUCAGGAAGAACACCCGUGGCGAAGGCGGCUCUCUGGGACGGUACUGACGCUGAGACGCGAAAGCGUGGGGGAGCGAACAGG